rnacentral:rRNA from 1 species
UACGAAGGGGGCUAGCGUUGUUCGGAAUUACUGGGCGUAAAGCGCGCGCAGGCGGUCUUCCAAGUCAGUGGUGAAAGCCCGGAGCUCAACUCCGGAAUUGCCAUUGAAACUGUGAGACUGGAGUACGAGAGAGGUGAGUGGAAUUCCCAGUGUAGAGGUGAAAUUCGUAGAUAUUGGGAAGAACACCGGUGGCGAAGGCGGCUCACUGGCUCGUAACUGACGCUCAUGCACGACAGCGUGGGGAUCAAACAGG